GGCCUACCAUGGUUUUAACGGGUAACGGGGAAUUAGGGUUCGAUUCCGGAGAGGGAGCCUGAGAAACGGCUACCACAUCCAAGGAAGGCAGCAGGCGCGCAAAUUACCCAAUCCCGACACGGGGAGGUAGUGACAAUAAAUAACAAUACGGGGCUCAUUUGGGUUUCGUAAUUGGAAUGAGUACAAUUUAAAUCCCUUAACGAGGAACAAUUGGAGGGCAAGUCUGGUGCCAGCAGCCGCGGUAAUUCCAGCUCCAAUAGCGUAUAUUAAAGUUGUUGCAGUUAAAAAGCUCGUAGUUGAACUUCGGGGUUUACCCAUUGGUCAGGCUUAAUUGUCUGUACUGGUGAGAUAAAUCUCUACCUUCUGAGGAACUUUCAUGCCAUUUAUUUGGUGUGAUUGGAAAUCAGGACUAUUACUUUGAAAAAAUUAGAGUGUUUAAAGCAGGCUAAAGUCUGAAUACAUUAGCAUGGAAUAAUGAAAUAGGACGGAUUUGAUUCUAUUUCGUUGGUUUCUAGGAUCACCGUAAUGAUUAAUAGGGAUAGUUGGGGGCAUUAGUAUUCAAUUGUCAGAGGUGAAAUUCUUGGAUUUAUUGAAGACUAACUACUGCGAAAGCAUUUGCCAAGGAUGUUUUCAUUAAUCAAGAACGAAAGUUAGGGGAUCGAAGACGAUCAGAUACCGUCGUAGUCUUAACCAUAAACUAUGCCGACUAGGGAUCGGACGAAGUUAAUUUUAUAAUGACGCGUUCGGCACCUUACGGGAAACCAAAGUGUUUGGGUUC
rnacentral:rRNA from 1 species